GACGAACGCUGGCGGCGUGCUUAACACAUGCAAGUCGAACGGAAAGGCCUGCUUUCCCUUGUGGAUUGCGGGUACUCGCGUGGCGAACGGGUGAGUAACACGUGAGUGAUCUGCCCCCAACUUGGGUAUAAGCCUGGGAAACUGGGUCUAAUUCCCGAUAGGACUGCAGGGUGGUGCCUGUGGUGGAAAACGAUUUUCUAGUGGUUGGGGAUGAGCUCGCGGCCUAUCAGCUUGUUGGUGGGGUAAUGGCCUACCAAGGCGGCGACGGGUAGCCGGCCUGGGAGGGUGGACGGCAACAGUGGGACGGAGACACGGCCCAGACUCCUACGGGAGGCAGCAGUGGGGAAGAUGGAACGAGGGGCGGAAGCCUGAGGCAGCGACGCCGCGUGGGGGAUGACGGGCUUCGGGUUGUAAACUCCUUUCGACAGCGAGGAAGCCACCUGGUUGGAAGGGUGGUGACGGUAGUGGUAGAAGAAGCACCGGCUAACUACGUG
rnacentral:rRNA from 1 species